AAAAAAUUGGGAAAAAAAGAUGACAUCUUCAGCUGUAAAUUUGGUGAUGACAGUGAUUGGGUUUACAGUGAGCAUUAUAUUCAUAGUAUUUGUGUGUACAAGGUUAAUUUGUGCAAGAAUUCAGUAUUUGACAAGGAGGAGGUCUUCUGCAUAUACUUCUAGAUCUGAUCUUAGCAUUUUGGAACGUGGUUUACAUGGGCUGG
rnacentral:misc_RNA from 1 species